UUGAUGAACGCUAGCUACAGGCUUAACACAUGCAAGUCGAGGGGCAGCAUGGUCUUAGCUUGCUAAGGCCGAUGGCGACCGGCGCACGGGUGAGUAACACGUAUCCAACCUGCCGUCUACUCUUGGACAGCCUUCUGAAAGGAAGAUUAAUACAAGAUGGCAUCAUGAGUCCACAUGUUCACAUGAUUAAAGGUAUUCCGGUAGACGAUGGGGAUGCGUUCCAUUAGAUAGUAGGCGGGGUAACGGCCCACCUAGUCUUCGAUGGAUAGGGGUUCUGAGAGGAAGGUCCCCCACAUUGGAACUGAGACACGGUCCAAACUCCUACGGGAGGCAGCAGUGAGGAAUAUUGGUCAAUGGGCGAGAGCCUGAACCAGCCAAGUAGCGUGAAGGAUGACUGCCCUAUGGGUUGUAAACUUCUUUUAUAAAGGAAUAAAGUCGGGUAUGCAUACCCGUUUGCAUGUACUUUAUGAAUAAGGAUCGGCUAACUCCGUGCCAGCAGCCGCGGUAAUACGGAGGAUCCGAGCGUUAUCCGGAUUUAUUGGGUUUAAAGGGAGCGUAGAUGGAUGUUUAAGUCAGUUGUGAAAGUUUGCGGCUCAACCGUAAAAUUGCAGUUGAUACUGGAUAUCUUGAGUGCAGUUGAGGCAGGCGGAAUUCGUGGUGUAGCGGUGAAAUGCUUAGAUAUCACGAAGAACUCCGAUUGCGAAGGCAGCCUGCUAAGCUGCAACUGACAUUGAGGCUCGAAAGUGUGGGUAUCAAACAGGAUUAGAUACCCUGGUAGUCCACACGGUAAACGAUGAAUACUCGCUGUUUGCGAUAUACAGCAAGCGGCCAAGCGAAAGCGUUAAGUAUUCCACCUGGGGAGUACGCCGGCAACGGUGAAACUCAAAGGAAUUGACGGGGGCCCGCACAAGCGGAGGAACAUGUGGUUUAAUUCGAUGAUACGCGAGGAACCUUACCCGGGCUUAAAUUGCAGAUGAAUUACGGUGAAAGCCGUAAGCCGCAAGGCAUCUGUGAAGGUGCUGCAUGGUUGUCGUCAGCUCGUGCCGUGAGGUGUCGGCUUAAGUGCCAUAACGAGCGCAACCCUUGUUGUCAGUUACUAACAGGUCAUGCUGAGGACUCUGACAAGACUGCCAUCGUAAGAUGUGAGGAAGGUGGGGAUGACGUCAAAUCAGCACGGCCCUUACGUCCGGGGCUACACACGUGUUACAAUGGGGGGUACAGAGGGCCGCUACCACGCGAGUGGAUGCCAAUCCCAAAAACCUCUCUCAGUUCGGACUGGAGUCUGCAACCCGACUCCACGAAGCUGGAUUCGCUAGUAAUCGCGCAUCAGCCACGGCGCGGUGAAUACGUUCCCGGGCCUUGUACACACCGCCCGUCAAGCCAUGGGAGCCGGGGGUACCUGAAGUGCGUAACCGCGAGGAGCGCCCUAGGGUAAAACU
rnacentral:rRNA from 1 species